rfam:Astyanax mexicanus chromosome 6, whole genome shotgun sequence.
GAGUGUUAAUGAUGGACUAAUUCUAAACUCUGUAGACGGGAUCAGUCUUGAUGCCUCACUC